GACGAACCGAGCGAACGUUGUUCGGAAUCACUGGGCUUAAAGGGCGCGUAGGCGGGUGCUCAAGUCCGGGGUGAAAUCCUCCAGCUCAACGGGAGAACGGCCUCGGAUACGGGCGGCCUCGAGGGGGGUAGGGGCAUCUGGAACUGUGGGUGGAGCGGUGAAAUGCGUUGAUAUCCACAGGAACUCCGGUGGCGAAGGCGAGGUGCUGGACCCCUUCUGACGCUGAGGCGCGAAAGCCAGGGGAGCGAACGGG
rnacentral:rRNA from 1 species